ACGGGUGAGUAAUGCCUAGGAAUCUGCCUGGUAGUGGGGGAUAACGUCCGGAAACGGGCGCUAAUACCGCGUACGUCCUACGGGAGAAAGCAGGGGACCUUCGGGCCUUGCGCUAUCAGAUGAGCCUAGGUCGGAUUAGCUAGUUGGUGAGGUAAUGGCUCACCAAGGCUGCGAUCCGUAACUGGUCUGAGAGGAUGAUCAGUCACACUGGAACUGAGACACGGUCCAGACUCCUACGGGAGGCAGCAGUGGGGAAUAUUGGACAAUGGGCGAAAGCCUGAUCCAGCCAUGCCGCGUGUGUGAAGAAGGUCUUCGGAUUGUAAAGCACUUUAAGUUGGGAGGAAGGGUUGUAGAUUAAUACUCUGCAAUUUUGACGUUACCGACAGAAUAAGCACCGGCUAACUUCGUGCCAGCAGCCGCGGUAAUACGAAGGGUGCAAGCGUUAAUCGGAAUUACUGGGCGUAAAGCGCGCGUAGGUGGUUCGUUAAGUUGGAUGUGAAAGCCCCGGGCUCAACCUGGGAACUGCAUCCAAAACUGGCGAGCUAGAGUACGGUAGAGGGUGGUGGAAUUUCCUGUGUAGCGGUG
rnacentral:rRNA from 2 species